rnacentral:lncRNA from 1 species
AGGGAGCCGGUGGGAUGGGCGGAGGGGAAGCUCGCGAGAUGUUGGCAACCCUCCUGGAGACGGUUGUGUGCAAGGGGCUCCGGGUGACCCUGCUGCAGCAGCGGGUUGGACUGGAUGGGCGGGUGGACGUCGCCUGCCGAGAUGCGAUUCUGGGGGGAGCCGUCUGAGCCAAGGCGUCCUGUUCACGGGCAGGUCCGGCGCGCGCCGUGCUCUGCCGGCUCUGCCAAGCCGGGCCGGAGCCACGCGGGUCGCUGGGGGAGGGUGCCCGGGACCGUCCCUGGGGCCCAGGCCAAGCCCGGGUCUGGUCCCUCUGCACCAGGCYGCAAGGAGAUCUCCGCGCGUGGGUUGCAGCACGGGGACGUGCUCUUCAACCGCUCCUUCCGCCAGCGGCACGGCGCCUGCGCCGCCACCGUCGUCCCCUGGCAGACGGCGGCCGAGGAGGUGGUGCACAGCUUCUACGGCGCCGGGGACCAGCUCGCCCGGCAGCACGGCCGCUUCCGGGGCCGCACGCGCUUCUUCCCCGAGGGGCUGCGGCGCGGCGAGGCCGUCCUGCGGCUGCACGACCUGCUGCUCGACGACGCGGGCAACUCCUCGGCCUGGGUGUUUUUCCAGGGGGACGAGGAGCCCGUUCACKGCAAGAUAUCGCUGUGGGUCUCAGGGCARGAACACGGCAGUGGCUGGCACUGGGGUAGCUGGAUGUCGGCUGUCUCCGUAGUCUUCCUCCUCCUCAUCGUACUUGGAUUGUGCUGUUGGUGUUUUCUCCGGAGGAGCAAAGGAGCCGCGCGGCGGUGCCGGGACGUCGUCCGGAGCAGGCUGCGGGGGAGGCACGACGCGGGCUCCCCUCUGACGGGGCCGC